rnacentral:lncRNA from 1 species
UGCUGGCAUCAAGUAAGCCGACUACCUCGGCAAAGGCUUAGGGACAAGAGACCAGCAGCCUGAACUGGCUGGGGCAUCCGGAAGGCUUAGAUCUUGUGGCCAAGAGUUCAGACCGUGGCGAAGUGGAGAGUGACAUGCAGUUGGAUGGCGGUGACUGCGUGGUCCUGCAACCCUGGUUCCAGUCUGGCAAGCAUUGUAGACCUGGCUGCUGAAGACUGACGGGGCCCAGGGUCCGCUGCCCCCACCGCCAUCACCACCUCGGAACCCAGGGUAACGCUGUCAGUCUUUGGCUGAAUUGUUUUAUCCAGGCAAGCAUGCAAAAACACAUUGAUAAUAUAUUUCACCUUUGCCACGUCUAAUACCAGAGCCUACGAGGAAACCAUUCGGAAGCUCCAGAACCCAGGCCCUAAUCACAACGCCCCUAUCCAGCAGGAAGCAGCCAGAUGAUCAACGACGCCCUUUUUCCUUUUUAUACUAAAGUAAGAAAUAAGAAUGUUAGCCCAAACUGCACUAUUUUGCAGACCCCUACCAUUUUACAAACUGGUCAGAGUGGAAAAUUCCACCAGGGCCUGAGCUGUGAGAAACAUCCUGUCAGGCAGGUCCCAGGCCUAACCCCUGGCUGCACUAAAUUCCUUCAUUAUCAGCAGCCAAACACACCGCCCCCACCCCAUUUUCACAACAAUCCCAGACCUCUCCUGCCCGGGACUGUAACUGGUCCAGCCUGUAAGCGGGAAGGGGGCUCUGGCACUAGCUGGUACCCCCUCUCCGCAGGUCUUUCUCCCAAUAAAUCUGUGUUGCCAUU